rnacentral:rRNA from 1 species
CAGUCGCCGCGGUAACACAGAGGGUGCGAGCGUUAAUCGGAUUUACUGGGCGUAAAGCGUGCGUAGGCGGCUUCUUAAGUCGGAUGUGAAAUCCCUGAGCUUAACUUAGGAAUUGCAUUCGAUACUGGGAAGCUAGAGUAUGGGAGAGGAUGGUAGAAUUCCAGGUGUAGCGGUGAAAUGCGUAGAGAUCUGGAGGAAUACCGAUGGCGAAGGCAGCCAUCUGGCCUAAUACUGACGCUGAGGUACGAAAGCAUGGGGAGCAAACAGGAUUAGAUACCCCUAGUCCCUGUCUCUUAUACAC